GGGGUUGUGGCUCAGUGGUGGAGCACUUCCCUAGCAGGUGUGUGUGUGUGUGUGUGUGGGGGGGGUGCUGCGUUCGAUUCUCAGCACCACA
rnacentral:tRNA from 1 species